rnacentral:rRNA from 1 species
CCAAUAGCGUAUAUUAAAGUUGUUGCAGUUAAAAAGCUCGUAGUUGAAUUUCGGGACCAAUAUGUCUGUCGUGCCUUCGGUACGUACGGGUAUAAUUGGUUCCUACCUUCUGAUGAACCUUGAUGCCAUUAAUUUGGUGUCUUGGGGACUCAGGACUGUUACCUUGAAAAAAUUAGAGUGUUUAAAGCAGGCAUGCGCUUGAAUACAUUAGCAUGGAAUAAUGAAAUAGGACGUUCGAUUCUAUUUUGUUGGUUUCUAGGAUCGACGUAAUGAUUAAUAGGGAUAGUUGGGGGCAUUAGUAUUCAAUUGUCAGAGGUGAAAUUCUUGGAUUUAUUGAAGAAUAACUACUGCGAAAGCAUUUGCCAAGGAUGUUUUCAUUAAUCAAGAACGAAAGUUAGGGGAUCGAAGACGAUCAGAUACCGUCGUAGUCUUAACCAUAAACUAUGCCGACUAGGGAUCGGAUGAUGUUGAUUUUUUAAUGACUCAUUCGGCGCCUUACG